rnacentral:lncRNA from 1 species
GCCAAAGCCAGUUGGGUACAUUCAUGGAAUAUGGAGGGUGCACACAGUCCUUUACUCAGAAUUCAGUUGGCCUGUCCCAGCCCAUGCAGAGCUGGCAGUGCUGAGCAGAUGUGGACGCACUUCUCCACUCCAUUUUGUCUUCCCAGAUCCUACAAUUAGUUUAUAAUAGUGAAAUUUCCAGCAAACUUGCUAAAACUAAUGCCUUCAGGGUCACGCAUGGCCACCUAUCUCGCUCAACAGGGACGCCCUCUCCAAACUCUCUUUCCUCCAGCCCCAGAGGCGCUCAUCUUAACCCAUUUCCUACCACCCACACCCUGGGGCAUGAGCACAGCUUUUGACAGAAGCCGUCUGCCAUUUGGCUCCCCUUGGUUGAGCCAGAAUGGAGAGGGGGCCCUCCAGAUCCGGAGAAUGGAGAGGAACUGAUGACCUAGGAUAAUUGUCUUUCACGCUGCCAUGAUCAACCCCCAGGCAUAUCUUCUGUGUGUUAUUAUGUGAAAAAGAGUGUUCAUCCCUUUCUUCAUUUUGAGUUUCAGAUCUGAGGCCCCUUUCAGUUAUCUGAGCCUUAGUUCCUGCCAGGACCGUGGGGAAAAAAGUGGAUUUGGUCUGCCUGGAAGAAGAGGGGAGCGACCGAUCUCAGAAUGUGCAUCUCACUUCCGACCAGCCCGAUUUUCAGGCACUCCAACGUCCUCAUGUGAGAUUAGCGGCCAUUGUAAUGGAUGACACAGAUCUAGAAGGCGUAUCUCUUGCAGAUGUUAAUAAUUAUAGACCUCCUGUUUUAAUUGUAUCUCUUAAAGACAUUAAUUCAUUGGUUUAAAUUUGUGAUCCAUUAGGCCGUGACACCAAGUUAUCCACGUAAUGGAACUUCAUUGUUGAUGCCUCGUCCAGUCCAUGACACUUCUAGGUUUCAUGCGCCCCGAUUGGAAGCCCUGAUUGGAAGCCCGCGAGGUCCAGUUCUUCAGAUAAUUGAAGCCCUGGGAAUGAAACCAG